UUGAUCCUGGCUCAGAAUCAACGCUGGCGGCGUGCCUAACACAUGCAAGUCGAACGCGAAAGUCCCGCAAGGGAUUAGUAGAGUGGCAAACGGGUGAGUUACACGUGGGUGACCUGCCCUCGAGUGGGGGAUAACGUCCCGAAAGGGACUCUAAUACCGCAUAACAUCCUGCUUUUUAAGAGGUGGAGAUCAAAGCCGGUGAUCGCAAGACCUGGCGCUUGAAGAGGGGCCCGCGUCCGAUUAGCUAGUUGGUGGGGUAAUGGCUCACCAAGGCAUCGAUCGGUAUCCGGCCUGAGAGGUCGGACGGACACACUGGGACUGAGACACGGCCCAGACUCCUACGGGAGGCUGCAGUGGGGAAUUGUUCGCAAUGGGCGCAAGCCUGACGACGCAACGCCGUGUGGAGGAUGAAGAUCUUCGGGUCGUAAACUCCUUUCGAUCGAGACGAAUGGCCCCUGGGUUAAUAACCUGGGGGAGUGACGGUACCGAGAGAAGAAGCUCCGGCUAACUCCGUGCCAGCAGCCGCGGUAAUAAGGU
rnacentral:rRNA from 1 species